rnacentral:lncRNA from 1 species
UUCACCUCACAACAGACCGGCUGCUGCUCCUUCGCCAUCAGAAAUGGUCGAAAAUCGACGACCACCCACACAUGUACAAUAGUGAAAAAUAGAGGUAAAGAGAUUAAAAAGGAGCGAAGAUUUUCUGAUUUUGAGCCUUCUUCUAAUUAGGUGUUCAUUCACAGAAAAGAACCCCAAAAAGAAUUAUAUUUUCUUUAGUUUGUUCUUCCGAUUUCUAAAUAGAAAACACAAAAAAAAAUUAUUAGUUUCUUAAUCUGGUUUUCAACUAUGGAUUGCAUCUGAGGUGUAGCCGAGGAUCGAUUUGCUUCAGCUGUUAUUUCAUUCGGCUUUGUUCGAAUUUUUCGACAUCGAAUUUAAUUGAAAGUUGUAAUGUCAUGUCU